rnacentral:tRNA from 1 species
AAGGACUUAAGUUAAAUAAACUACUAACCUUCAAAGUUAUAAAUAAAGAAUAUUUUAGGCCUUA